rnacentral:rRNA from 1 species
GAUGAACGCUGGCGGCGUGCCUAAUACAUGCAAGUCGAGCGAACAGACGAGGAGCUUGCUCCUCUGACGUUAGCGGCGGACGGGUGAGUAACACGUGGAUAACCUACCUAUAAGACUGGGAUAACUUCGGGAAACCGGAGCUAAUACCGGAUAAUAUAUUGAACCGCAUGGUUCAAUAGUGAAAGACGGUUUUGCUGUCACUUAUAGAUGGAUCCGCGCCGCAUUAGCUAGUUGGUAAGGUAACGGCUUACCAAGGCAACGAUGCGCAGCCGACGUGAGAGGGUGAUCGGCCACACUGGAACGGAGACACGGUCCAGACUCCUACGGGAGGCAGCAGUAGGGAAUCGUCCGCAAUGGGGGAAAGCCUGACGGAGCAACGCCGCGUGAGUGAUGAAGGUCUUCGGAUCGUAAAGCUCUGUUAUUAGUGAAGAACAAAUGUGUAAGUAACUAUGCACGUCUUGACGGUACCUAAUCAGAAAGCCACGGCUAACUACGUG